UACGUAGGGGGCAAGCGUUGUCCUGAAUCAUUGGGCGUAAAGAGCGCGUCGGCGGCCCUGUAAGUCCGCUGUGAAAGUCAAGGGCUCAACCCUUGGAUGCCGGUGGAUACUGCAGGGCUAGAGUCCGGAAGAGGCGAGUGGAAUUCCUGGUGUAGCGGUGAAAUGCGCAGAUAUCAGGAGGAACACCGAUGGCGAAGGCAGCUCGCUGGGACGGUACUGACGCUGAGGCGCGAAAGCGUGGGGAGCAAACAGG
rnacentral:rRNA from 1 species